GAGUUUGAUCCUGGCUCAGGAUGAACGCUGGCGGCGUGCUUAACACAUGCAAGUCGAGCGAAGCACUCUGCUUUGAUUCUUUCGGGAUGAAGAGCAUUGUGACUGAGCGGCGGACGGGUGAGUAACGCGUGGGUAACCUGCCUCAUACAGGGGGAUAACAGUCAGAAAUGACUGCUAAUACCGCAUAAGCGCACAGAGCUGCAUGGCUCGGUGUGAAAAACUCCGGUGGUAUAAGAUGGACCCGCGUUGGAUUAGCUUGUUGGUGGGGUAACGGCUCACCAAGGCGACGAUCCAUAGCCGGCCUGAGAGGGUGAACGGCCACAUUGGGACUGAGACACGGCCCAGACUCCUACGGGAGGCAGCAGUGGGGAAUAUUGCACAAUGGGGGAAACCCUGAUGCAGCGACGCCGCGUGAAGGAAGAAGUAUCUCGGUAUGUAAACUUCUAUCAGCAGGGAAGAUAAUGACGGUACCUGACUAAGAAGCCCCGGCUAACUACGUGCCAGCCGCCGCGGUAAUUC
rnacentral:rRNA from 1 species